rnacentral:misc_RNA from 1 species
UUUUUUUUUUUUUUUUUAUCUUAAAGAUUUUGUUUAAUUCAUAAGUACAUGAAUACUGAAUAAUUUAAUAAGUUUGUAUCUUCAUAUAACUAAUUGUAACUAAAAACAAAAUAAAAUAAGUCUUCAUACCUUGUUUAUAUAAAGCUAACAUUAAUAAAAAUUGUUUUUAUAAUAACUUUUGUUAUAUUAUAUUAUAUAUAGUUAUAGUUUGGUUCAUAUGUAAUAAUGUGAAUAUGUUUGUUAGUAAUUACUUAGCUUGAAAAGUAACUUGAAUUGUAAACUUUAAUGUUCCUAGAGUAAGUACAAAAGUCAGUGUAGUUCAUUAUAAAUUAAUCUCAAGUAAAUAAUGUAAAAGGGAAGGAUGUUAUAUACAUGUUAGUCGAUGGUUAAAUAUUGUCUACAGUUUAUAGUUUAUGGUAUGACAUUAAUCUAGAGACUUCGGUAGAACUACAGAGUGAGCACUGACUGUAGGAUUAAGCUUGUACCUAAUGUAAGUUUAAUUAAAACUAAUAAAUCUCUUGAAGACACUAAGGAUGUUUAAUUUAAUAAACACAUAACAGU